CCCAAUCACGCGCAUAACUCGCCCAUUACUAGCCUUUGGCAAAGGGCCCUACUCAUCGCAGGUUUUCAAAGUCCUCCCGAAGUCCCAUCUCUUCUAAACUUUUAAGAGGCACAUUUCUCCGCUGUACGGAAUGGGAACCUCUGAAAGAUGUCUCCUCCCGUACAAACCGGUUUAUUGGCGCGGCCAUUUCUCUGGCCCCCCAAUACGGUCGUGGCAGUUACAGAACCACUCGCACAGCGAUGCUACUGGUUACUGGGAUGGCUUCAGGGAGGGAAACUGCGCGUGAGGAGGAAUGGUGACGAACAGUACCGACGGUAGGGGUAAAGGAUCAAGAAAGUGGUUGUCGGAGGAAGUUGUGACUGAUUUGGGAACUCCAGGCGGACCUCGCCAGAAUAAGCAUCCUGGUGGAAACAUGAGAGUAGGGGAUGAAGGAAGGCAGAGGGUUCACUUGGAGCAGAAGUGAGACAGAGCUGGUGGUCUGUGGGCAGAGCGACAUGUUCGAGUGUGGAUUUUGUAAAGAAGCAAAUUUGCUGGAAGUCGGGCAAGUUGACCAGCUGAAGAGGCACCAGAAAAACUGGAGCAGACACCUGAGGCAAGCUAUAGCCCUUAAAGAGAAAAAGGGCCUGAACAACCUCAUCCACAAAUCAGGAACAUCUCCCCCUCCAUUCUGCAUGGAGCUAUGUUUCCUAUCUCCUGAGUCACAGAAAACUGCAGCCUCCAUUCUGGGUGAGGUAUAGGAGUUCUGAGCCCUCCUGACCUGGACAACAUCUAAAUGUAGUUGGUAAGGAUACAGGAUGGUGUCUCUUAACAGCCCAGGCAACUCUGCUCCUUUCCCUGUCAUUUUUCUGCUUGUUACUAGAGAUCAUGGUUUAACAGCCUUGCAUUCUGGUGUGUUGGGCAGUGGGGCAGGCAGGGCUUCAGGGUGUCCCCAGUGCUGCCUUACCACGACAAUCCAUGUGACAGAGGUUCUGG